rnacentral:rRNA from 1 species
UAGGGAAUCUUCCACAAUGGACGAAAGUCUGAUGGAGCAACGCCGCGUGAGUGAAGAAGGGUUUCGGCUCGUAAAACUCUGUUGUUAAAGAAGAACAUAUCUGAGAGUAACUGUUCAGGUAUUGACGGUAUUUAACCAGGAAGCCACGGCUAACUACGUGUCAG